AGAGUUUGAUCAUGGCUCAGAUUGAACGCUGGCGGCAGGCCUAACACAUGCAAGUCGAGCGGUAGCACAGGAGAGCUUGCUCUCUGGGUGACGAGCGGCGGACGGGUGAGUAAUGUCUGGGAAACUGCCUGAUGGAGGGGGAUAACUACUGGAAACGGUAGCUAAUACCGCAUAACGUCUUCGGACCAAAGUGGGGGACCUUCGGGCCUCACGCCAUCAGAUGUGCCCAGAUGGGAUUAGCUAGUAGGUGGGGUAAUGGCUCACCUAGGCGACGAUCCCUAGCUGGUCUGAGAGGAUGACCAGCCACACUGGAACUGAGACACGGUCCAGACUCCUACGGGAGGCAGCAGUGGGGAAUAUUGCACAAUGGGCGCAAGCCUGAUGCAGCCAUGCCGCGUGUGUGAAGAAGGCCUUCGGGUUGUAAAGCACUUUCAGCGAGGAGGAAGGGUAGUGUGUUAAUAGCACAUUGCAUUGACGUUACUCGCAGAAGAAGCACCGGCUAACUCCGUGCCAGCAGCCGCGGUAAUACGGAGGGUGCAAGCGUUAAUCGGAAUUACUGGGCGUAAAGCGCACGCAGGCGGUUUGUUAAGUCAGAUGUGAAAUCCCCGCGCUUAACGUGGGAAUUGCAUUUGAAACUGGCAAGCUAGAGUCUUGUAGAGGGGGGUAGAAUUCCAGGUGUAGCGGUGAAAUGCGUAGAGAUCUGGAGGAAUACCGGUGGCGAAGGCGGCCCCCUGGACAAAGACUGACGCUCAGGUGCGAAAGCGUGGGGAGCAAACAGGAUUAGAUA
rnacentral:rRNA from 1 species